rnacentral:rRNA from 1 species
UACAGAGGGUGCGAGCGUUAAUCGGAAUUACUGGGCGUAAAGCGUGCGCAGGCGGUCUGUUAAGACCGAUGUGAAAUCCCCGGGCUAACCUGGGAACUGCAUUGGUGACUGGCAGGCUUUGAGUGUGGCAGAGGGAGGUAGAAUUCCACGUGUAGCAGUGAAAUGCGUAGAGAUCGGAAAGAACACCAACGGCGAAAGCACUCUGCUGGGCCGACACUGACACUGAGAGACGAAAGCUAGGGGAGCGAAUGGG